rnacentral:rRNA from 1 species
CCGGCGACCGGCGGACGGGUGCGUAACGCGUAUGUAACCUACCUUUGACAGGGGGAUAACAUCGAGAAAUUGGUACUAAUACCCCAUAGCAUCACCGGAGGCAUCUUCGGUGGUUGAAAACUCAGGUGGUCAGAGAUGGACAUGCGUUGUAUUAGCUAGUUGGUGAGGUAACGGCUCACCAAGGCGACGAUACAUAGGGGGACUGAGAGGUCAACCCCCCACAUUGGUACUGAGACACGGACCAAACUCCUACGGAAGGCAGCAG